GCAUGGACGAAUUCUGCAUUAUCUUGAUGUAGGUAUUGCAGUCAGACACCAUGCUAGAAUAAGUCUCCCUUUUGCUUGUUUGAUAUGGCAUCCUAACUUUUAGGUUGACAUAGCACAGGGGAGUACAAAU